UUGUGAUGUCAUAUACUUUCAAAGGUC
rnacentral:piRNA from 1 species